rnacentral:rRNA from 1 species
GACGAACGCUGGCGGCGUGCUUAACACAUGCAAGUCGAACGGAAAGGCCCUGCUUUUGUGGGGUGCUCGAGUGGCGAACGGGUGAGUAACACGUGAGUAACCUGCCCUUGACUUUGGGAUAACCUCAGGAAACUGGGGCUAAUACCGGAUAGGAGCUCCUGCUGCAUGGUGGGGGUUGGAAAGUUUCGGCGGUUGGGGAUGGACUCGCGGCUUAUCAGCUUGUUGGUGGGGUAGUGGCUUACCAAGGCUUUGACGGGUAGCCGGCCUGAGAGGGUGACCGGCCACAUUGGGACUGAGAUACGGCCCAGGCUCCUACGGGAGGCAGCAGUGGGGAAUAUUGCACAAUGGGCGGAAGCCUGAUGCAGCAACGCCGCGUGCGGGAUGACGGCCUUCGGGUUGUAAACCGCUUUCGCCUGUGACGAAGCGUGAGUGACGGUAAUGGGUAAAGAAGCACCGGCUAACUACGUG